UACAUGUCUGAAAUAAAAAAAAUAAGAGACAAUCCGACUACCUCCCUUGCACAGUCACAUACCCUCUCACCCAAACCCCCUUCAAAAACAAAAAGCAGAAGAAGAAAAAAGGCAAAACACUCUCUCUCUCUCUCACACACACACUUAAAAGCAAUGUGGCUCCCCAAGUUUGCAACAAGUAAAGUACAAACAUAAUUUAUCUCUGUCAGUCUCUUGUGCCAUCUCAACUUGUCUGGUCACAUGAAUGCAAGCCAACACCCUGACAGCCUGAUUUAUAUACUAUCCCACCUCAAUGACUCGGUGUGCCUUCAUUGGCCAAGUGUCAGUGACAAAAUCACCAUUAAUUGGCUUUCUUCUAACAUCAAUCACAAAAAUGUGCUCAUUUCAUUGGACAGGG